UACGAGGGGGGCGAGCGUUGUUCGGAAUUAUUGGGCGUAAAGGGCGCGUAGGCGGGUGCUCAAGUCCGGGGUGAAAUCCUCCAGCUCAACUGGAGAACUGCCUCGGAUACUGGGUGUCUCGAGGGUGGUAGGGGUAUGCGGAACUAUCGGUGGAGCGGUGAAAUGCGUUGAUAUCGAUAGGAACUCCGGUGGCGAAGGCGGCAUACUGGACCACAUCUGACGCUGAGGCGCGAAAGCCAGGGGAGCAAACGGG
rnacentral:rRNA from 1 species